rnacentral:rRNA from 1 species
CCUACGGGGAGCAGCAGUGGGGAAUAUUGCACAAUGGGGGAAACCCUGAUGCAGCGACGCCGCGUGAGCGAUGAAGUAUUUCGGUAUGUAAAGCUCUAUCAGCAGGGAAGAAAAUGACGGUACCUGACUAAGAAGCCCCGGCUAACUACGUGCCAGCAGCCGCGGUACUACGUAGGGGGCAAGCGUUAUCCGGAUGUACUGGGUGUAAAGGGAGCGUAGACGGCGGUGCAAGCCAGAUGUGAAAGCCUGGGGCUCAACCCCGGGACUGCAUUUGGAACUGUGCUGCUAGAGUGUCGGAGAGGCAGGCGGAAUUCCUGGUGUAGCGGUGAAAUGCGUAGAUAUUAGGAGGAACACCAGUGGCGAAGGCGGCCUGCUGGACGAUGACUGACGUUGAGGCUCGAAAGCGUGGGGAGCAAACAGGAUUAGAUACCCUUGUAGUC